UGCCCAGCAGCUCCUAUCCCUACCUCCGCAUGGUACCGGCCGGAAACUAUGAGCAGCCAUAGGGUAGAUCGGAUAACCAACCCAGGUUGGAACUUUGAUCGUGGGCUGACAGGGAAGG
rnacentral:ribozyme from 1 species